GAUGAACGCUGGCGGCGUGCCUAACACAUGCAAGUCGAACGGAGUCCAGCCUUAGAGACCUUCGGGUCAAAGAGGGGAAGACUGAGUGGCGGACGGGUGAGUAACACGUGGGCAACCUGGCUCAUAGAGGGGGAUAACAGAGAGAAAUUUCUGCUAAUACCGCAUAAGCACACACUGCCGCAUGGCAGAGUGUGAAAAGAGAAUCGCUAUGAGAUGGACCCGCGUCUGAUUAGCCAGUUGGCAGGGUAAGAGCCUACCAAAGCGACGAUCAGUAGCCGAUUUGAGAGGAUGAACGGCCACAUUGGGACUGAGACACGGCCCAAACUCCUACGGGAAGCAGCAGUGGGGGAUAUUGCACAAUGGGGGGAACCCUGAUGCAGCGACGCCGCGUGAGUGAAGGAGUAUUUCGGUAUGUAAAGCUCUAUCAGCAGGGAAGAUAAUGACAGUACCUGAAUAAGAAGCCCCGGCUAACUACGUG
rnacentral:rRNA from 1 species